ensembl:lncRNA
GGGCACUUAGCCAGGAAGAAGUAGAAGUAAGUCUGCCUGCAAUCCAGAUAUGCUUCAGUCUAAAGCCUCUGCUCUUACUAACAGCAUCAUGUUUUCUUCCUUCAUGAAGCUUCUGACUCAGAUCAGUGCCAAACAGAGCUCAGAGCCAGCUGGAAGACCCUUAAAGAGAGGAGAAGGCCGCAGCAGAGCCUCUCGGGAAUAUCAGUCAACAGCUCUCUUCUGCCAGCCAGCCAAGGAGGACUCUCAUUUGAUUCGGUGGAGCCUGGCCUCUUGGGAAGAGGAACUAACCUGCCUUUCCUCCUUUUCCUCCCUACUCAGCUGUCCUUUCCAAGGACCCCAAGAAGGCUGGGGACUGAGGGAGACAGAGCCUUGCCCUGCAGGUGGCCAGGCAGGCCUGCCACCCUCUUGGCUCAGCUUGGAGUCAUCACCUUUGGUAGUACUUCACCUUUCAUCUUAAUAGAGGGAGAACAAAGAUCGACAUGACUGGUCCCCAGACAAAAACAGACAGAGCAUUUUAAUGAUUAACAUCGUAACACUGUUAUUGGCCUGCGCCAGCCUCCUGCUGGCAUUGGGCAGCACACCCUGCUGUCAGCUCCCCUGUGCCCUAAGCCCUAUGGUGAAGAACAAUUUCAUCAAGAUUCAGUGCUUCUGUGUGAAAGUCCCUGUAUAAGCUAGCUUCUGCAUUAAGAGACUGCCCAGAUGUUCCCAGCAGGUCUAAAACCCUUCCCAGAACCCAGGAGCCCUUUAUACCUGCUUCCAGGUGAUCUGCUGGGCACUUUUCACCUGUUACCUCACUUUUAUCCUCUCAGCCACCCAUCAUAGCAGCUACUAUUAACUCCAUUUUAUAGAUGGAAAACUGAAUCCAAGCCUUAAUCCUUUACUCUCAAGUGCUAUUUCAAGGAAUCUAACAACCCUGAAAUGAAGCGCCCGGAAAUAAAAGAUGCUGCGACACAGCCAGCAGUUUGCCUGCUUCUUAAUCACUUCUUUUGGGGGCUCAUUUUCUUUCUGUCCUCAUAGAAUGCUCCGACGUCUGAAUUCCUGCUCGUCUUCCUUCACCCCUUAUCUAGAGUACAUGCAGAGGGACUUGAGUGUGUCACCUUGAACAGCAUGAUUUGCCGUCUAGUCUUUCAU